CUAGAUAAUAGUAUCAUCUUCUUCUUCUUAAUAAAAACUGCCAUGGCUGCCGUUUUCAUUUAUUUUUCAUUCCAUCAGCUUUACAGAACAUUGGUUCUUCUUUUUUCUUCCUCACAUCUUCUUAUUAAAUGUGUAUCUUCUUUAUUUCCCUUCUCAUGAGUUCUUUUCUUCUCUUUAGUGGUGCAAAAGUAAAAUUUUAGGGGGUUCAAAGUGCAAAAAUACAUAGAAUUUAGGUACAUUUUUCUUAAGUUCAGGGGGUUCAGUUGAACCCCCUCGCUACAACGUGGCGACGCC
rnacentral:lncRNA from 1 species